CCUACUUGUUAUCCGUCUGUCUGGACACAGAAUCAAUAUAACCAGUUUAAAAGCUAAAAUGAAUGGUUAUAUGCCAGACAUGGAAAACUGGGAUGCACUCCAUGCCAUGAUGUUCAGCUACCCAGCUAUAUGCUGACUGGAUAGCUCAAUGGGUAAGUCACCUGACUUUCAGGAGACCUGGGUUUAAUUCCAGGCAGGGGCAAAGAUACAACAGUAAAAUUGAGCAGAAAGCUGUCUGCAUUGAUUACCAAAAAUCGUUUGAAAAUUAUUACCAAGAAUAAAAUUAUUAUUUAGCUUGUCAUAAGAGACAAAAGGGGCUCAAAAUGAUAUCCAUUUAUAAGUGCCAUGGUUGUAUUUAGCUCCAAACUGUUAGGUACCAGGCUGGUGGGUCCGCCAUUUUCCUUUACAGAUCAUCCACCAGAGGGCGCCAGAUGACAGCAGGUUCCUGGAGGCAUGCCGGCAGGUCCUAAUCAGACGCACCUGUAGGGAAUUGCCUUCUCCUGGAGGUGUAUAUAAGCAGCUGGCUGCCAGCACGUCUUCGCCAGAGUGUUUGCCUUGACUGGACGCCUUCAGAGCUUUCCAGGAGAUCUCGAGUUUCCCACCUCCAGAAUAUCUGUGCUGUCUGGACUUACCUGUUCCGCCCUCCUACACUCUCUGAAUACCCACCGCCUGAUGCCUGACUUUGCCCUCUCCUAUCCCAAUCUACACCAUCUACAGUAAGAUCUCCUGAUUCAUUUUUCCCUGAGCCGUACACCUGUCAUCACCCAAGACUCAUCAUCUCUUUCUCAUACAGUGAGCGGUAGCACCCGGAUCCCUUUGUCGUGGAGGAGGACCUGACAAAUCUGUUUAACUGAGUUUUGUGUUUAAUAAACCUUUGGACUUUU